UUUUUCGUUUUUCUUGUAGUCCCGUUCGAGGAAUUCUGCUGUCUGGCCGUUGUUUUAGAAUUUAAUGAAUUCCCCUCUGUAAGUCGGCAGAAAAGACAUACCGAAGAUGGAGGAUGCCAAAUUCAAAAUUCUUUUAUAGCAGUAAAUACUACCGAAAGACUUCAACAAUUGAGAGAGAAAAUGAAAGAAAAUAAUUAUUCUGCUUAUAUUAUACCUACAGAUGAUGAACACCAGAGUGAAUACGUAGCUGAGUAUGACAAGAGAAGAGCUUAUAUAUCAGGAUUUAGCGGAUCAGCAGGUAGAAUAUCGCACUGUAUAGAGUAAAAACCUGUCCGAAACGGAACUUGAAUAAAACGGAAACCUAUUCCUACAAUUCUUAUUUACGCAGGUUUUCCUGCAUUAAUUUUAGGAGGCUGUAUUUAACUAUUGAAUUUUUAAGCAGAAUUAUUAUAGGGUUGCAAUUUUCAAAUUGCAGACCUAUACAUUCUCACUGUCUGUGUUUAUGUCUGUCCUUCGUUAAU